rnacentral:rRNA from 1 species
GUAGGUGGCAAGCGUUGUCCGGGAAUUAUUGGGCGUAAAGCGCGCGCAGGCGGUUCUUUAAGUCUGAUGUGAAAGCCCACGGGCUCAACCGUGGAGGGUCAUUGGAAACUGGAGAACUUGAGUACAGAAGAGGAAAGCGGAAUUCCACGUGUAGCGGUGAAAUGCGUAGAGAUGUGGAGGAACACCAGUGGCGAAGGCGGCUUUCUGGUCUGUAACUGACGCUGAGGCGCGAAAGCGUGGGGAGCAAACAGGAUUAGAUACCCUGGUAGUCCACGCCGUAAACGAUGAGUGCUAAGUGUUAGGGGGUUUCCGCCCCUUACUGCUGCAGCUAACGCAUUAAGCACUCCGCCUGGGGAGUACGGCCGCAAAGGCUG